rnacentral:lncRNA from 1 species
ACAACGCCAUUCACGCUCCAUCUUCGUCUCUCCUCUAUUCACACUCCACAACAAGCACUUAUUUCUUCCCUUUUCAUUUACACUCCCCAGCAAGGGAUGUUCGCUUUUCCCUUCCAUCGACGUCACAAGGGUCACAUAACCAACUGCACUGCCAUAGCGAAUGCUCAUUUCUGGGUGGAAACAAGCGACAGGAGCGUGACGUGAGAUCGGGAGGCUUCUGGCAAUUCGCAGAGUCAUGGCCUGCUGCUGACUGACACGGCAUCGUCAAUGGCGACUAGCAACUGGAAAAUCACAACCCUAAAACUUUGGGGUUUACAUGUUAUUGUUUACUAAUUUUAGGUUUGGGUAUUUUAUAAUUUGUUUGAUAUAUAAAUUAUUUUGAUUGUGCGUAGAAAUUGGAAAUUUAUGUUGUCUAUGGUGCUUUCAAAGUAAAUAUUCGGGAUAUAGUGAAUUUUUUUUAACUUUACUUCAAAGAUCUUUUUCUCACAAGAUGCUUGUUUUGCAGAGGGGUGAAAGUUUUGAAGAAAUAGAAGAAGAAAGAAAGAGUAGUAGCCAUGAUUGAUUUCCUCUGCGCAGGAGUUUGGGAUUUGAGAGUACGCAUGACUCUGAGAAGAUCUCUGAUUGUGAUCAAUUGGGUCUCACUUAAAUCUUGGUAAUAACGAAUGACUUGCUUGAUUUCUCUGCAUCGGCUCGUGAAAGGGAAGUGGGAAAUGUGACGAUGUUGGAGCAGAAGAGUUGGACUCUAGGCUUUGGUUCUAGAACUGAUAAUUCCAAUUAAUUUUAGUUUUAGUUUAAUUUCUUAAAAAAAAGCUUAAUUUAUUGUAAUUAUUUUCGGUUUGUAUUUCAUCAUUUUUGUUUUACAUUUUAUAAUUAUCUUUUCAAGAAAAUAAAUUGGCAAUUGCCAAAUAAUAUAUUCCU